UCUACAGCCAUACCAACCUGAACAUACCCAGUUUCAUCUGAUCUUAGAUGCUAAGCAGGGUCGGGCAUGAAAGAAAAAACUGUGAGGA
rnacentral:rRNA from 1 species